AGGGCUGACUAUGGUAAGAUAGAAAGAGUUGUGCACUCUCUUCCUUUUUCUAUGGAUAAAAUAAAAAUCGAACAGAAGCAGUUGGAUGAUGAAUUCAAUCGUUUGAUGCGUGUUGUUAUGCAGCUUAGAGGUGUUUUUCCCGAUUCUCUAUGAUCAUCUCUGAUUUUGAUGAUAAUGCAAGAGUUAUCUCAGAUUCUGAUGAUGAAUUAAUUAGAGAAGUUGAUGAGUAUCACCGUCCGAGUUUUAUGCACUCUUCGUUUCUUAAAAAAUUAAAAGAAAGUCAUGAUCAUUGUUUGUGCUUUAGAUCUUGGUUCAGAAUUGAGUCCACCUCCUCUACUAUGCGAAAAAUAAAGUCAGUUUUAACUUUGUGGAGUGAUUUUCUUGAUGAUUCCAUAUAUGUAGGUCAUUGGUUCUCAUGUUUCAUCUGUCAUCAGUAUUUCACUAGUACACACUUUCAUUUUAAAGAACUAGUUUCAAAAGCACUGCCAGUAUGUUGAGGAACUAGCUACAUGGAGCUUGUUUUUCACAAGUAGAGGAACGUGUGACUAGUGAAACCGAUUCUAAUUGCUUCUCUUAAUGCAUGCAUUUGCAAAUUGAGCUUAUAACAAUGUAGAUAGUGUUGUUGCAAACUCUUGUUCCUUGACCGAUAGAAAGAUAUUAUAUUUAGGAUCACUUACUCCUCAGUAUUCACCAGGAGCUAUUACUAGGUAUAUGUUUGUGAAACUUACUGUGCUUUGCAGCAUGAAAGUGUAGAAUUUUUGUUGGUGUUCAUGGAAUGUAGUAUUUUUUAGGGUUGGAGAAGUCAAAUAUUCCUUGGAUGCAGACCAUUCCUCAGGAUUCACCCUCAUUUUCCUUUGAUGGGUGCCUGCCUUCUAGUUGGACCAUUCCUCUUUCUGAACUCAUCACUCUAAUCUCGGAAAUGAUAUUUCUGGAACACUUGUUCGUGGGAAAAACCUCUUUCGCUAUAGCGGUUUUUAUUGUGUAAGUAGAGGGUUAAAAACUUCAUAUGUAUGUGACUGCUGAACUGGAUUGAUGCUAUAUGCAUAGCAGUCUUGCCUCGCUAACUAGCCGUCCUCUUAUCCUUUUUCGUGCAUGUGUUCUUCAAGUGUCUGAUAGUGUUAUCUCUCUUGAUCAUCAGUUAUCGUUAUGAAAGGAGCUUUGUCAACAAAAUCGUACAUUUCUGGGAGCAUGCUGACCAAAGAAUAAAGUCACUCUAGCGAGAUCAAUUUACCCUACCAUCAAUUCUCAGACUUAUGGAUGCUCUAUCUUGAGAUUCACUUUGACAUGGUACCUCCGUGUGCUGGUAAAACCGUGAGUUUAGCUAAAGCAUGAUUAGCAUUUAUUCUUUCAACAGUAAGAUGGCAGUCCACUCGUUAAUGCAUAUCAUUCAUUGUUUGAUUGCAAAUAGAAGUCAAGUUUACAUUUCUUUAAGAUUUGUUUAAUGCUGCAAGCUGGUUUGUUAGUCAUUAGGUUCCAGGGAAAAUGUAAGUGAUGCUGGGAUCCGUGAUAAUUAUUCAGAUUGAUGAAUAGGCCCUUGUCCAGUUCAGAAGGAUGUAGGUAUUCAGAUCAAUGACAGCAAAUUAUUUAUGAUUUAACCCCUUUAAAAGAUAUUUAAGAAGAUCAGUAACUCUUUAGUUUACUACUCCAUCAGUUUAUUUCAAAUCUCCUAUUGUGGGCUGAUAUUGAGUCUGGUGUUCUCUUAGCAUUGACUGCCAGAUCCAUCAAGUAAUACAAAGGUAAAUUGUAUAAGGG
rnacentral:lncRNA from 1 species